AAACUUUCAACAACGGAUCUCUUGGCUCUAGCAUCGAUGAAGAACGCAACGAAAUGCGAUAAGUAAUGUGAAUUGCAGAAUUCAGUGAAUCAUCGAAUCUUUGAACGCACAUUGCGCCUGGCAGUAUUCUGCCAGGCAUGCCUGUCCGAGCGUCAUUU
rnacentral:rRNA from 1 species